rnacentral:rRNA from 1 species
ACUCAAAUGAAUAGACGGGGGCCCGCACAAGCGGUGGAGCAUGUGGUUUAAUUCGACGCAACGCGCAGAACCUUACCAGCCCUUGACAUGUCCAGGACCGGCACCAGAGAUGGAGCCUUCUCUUCGGAGCCUGGAGCACAGGUGCUGCAUGGCUGUCGUCAGCUCGUGUCGUGAGAUGUUGGGUUAAGUCCCGCAACGAGCGCAACCCCCGUCUUUAGUUGCUACCAUUUAGUUGAGCACUCUAAAGAGACUGCCGGUGAUAAGCCGCGAGGAAGGUGGGGAUGACGUCAAGUCCUCAUGGCCCUUACGGGCUGGGCUACACACGUGCUACAAUGGCGGUGACAAUGGGAUGCAAAGGGGCGACCCCUCGCAAAUCUCAAAAAGCCGUCUCAGUUCGGAUUGGGCUCUGCAACUCGAGCCCAUGAAGUUGGAAUCGCUAGUAAUCGUGGAUCAGCAUGCCACGGUGAAUACGUUCCCGGGCCUUGCACACACCGCCCGU